CAGGCCUAACACAUGCAAGUCGAGCGGACCAUUCCUUCGGGGAUGGUUAGCGGCGGACGGGUGAGUAACACGUAGGCAACCUGCCUGUAAGAUCGGGAUAACUACCGGAAACGGUAGCUAAGACCGGAUAGCUGGUUUCUCCGCAUGGGGGAAUCAUGAAACACGGGGCAACCUGUGGCUUACGGAUGGGCCUGCGGCGCAUUAGCUAGUUGGUGGGGUAACGGCCCACCAAGGCGACGAUGCGUAGCCGACCUGAGAGGGUGAUCGGCUACACUGGGACUGAGACACGGCCCAGACUCCUACGGGAGGCAGCAGUAGGGAAUCUUCCGCAAUGGGCGCAAGCCUGACGGAGCAACGCCGCGUGAGUGAUGAAGGUUUUCGGAUCGUAAAGCUCUGUUGCCAAGGAAGAACGCCUCGGAGAGUAACUGCUCUGAGGGUGACGGUACUUGAGAAGAAAGCCCCGGCUAACUACGUGCCAGCAGCCGCGGUAAUACGUAGGGGGCAAGCGUUGUCCGGAAUUAUUGGGCGUAAAGCGCGCGCAGGCGGUCUUUUAAGUUUGGUGUUUAAGCCCGGGGCUCAACCCCGGUUCGCACUGAAAACUGGGAGACUUGAGUGCAGGAGAGGAAAGCGGAAUUCCACGUGUAGCGGUGAAAUGCGUAGAGAUGUGGAGGAACACCAGUGGCGAAGGCGGCUUUCUGGACUGUAACUGACGCUGAGGCGCGAAAGCGUGGGGAGCAAACAGGAUUAGAU
rnacentral:rRNA from 1 species